GCGUUGCCAAAGAAAUCGAAAUCGUGCAUUGUCCUUUAUAAUAUCUCAUUAUUGUGAUUUUUAUUGCAACUUGUAUACCAAAAGAGUGAUCACAUGUAUAGACAACCUUUGCAUUACUCCUAAGUAUAAUAAGUAUUAUGAAAAAAUGGGAAGAGAUAUAAACCUAACAUUUGGAAUGGAAAGUAUGGGCGCUUUGUUAAAGUGUUAUUCUGUUCCCAGUAGUAGUAUAUUAACCACAGCUGUUUCAUUCAUAAUCCGAACCUUACUUAAAAAUUUAUAAGUUUUCUUCGCUAAUUCCAUGCUUUCGUUCUAAACAAAUUAUAUACAUUAAAACAAUUUAAAAAUUACAGUGUAAAAAUGCGUUUGGUUAUUCUCUAUGGUAGUCAAACGGGCACAGCACAAAAUGUUGCAGAACAAAUUUGGCGCGAAUCCAAAACGUGGGGUUUUAGUGGCCCAGUAUUACCAAUGGAUGAGUAUCCAGUGGAGCAAUUAAUUGAGGAAAAAUUAGCAAUUUUUGUUGUAGCCACCACAGGAAAUGGCGAUGAACCAGAUAAUAUGAGAAAAACGUGGAAAUUUUUAUUGCGACGAAGCUUACCAGGAGAUUCACUGCAAAAUUUGCAAUUCGCUUGCUUAGGAUUAGGGGAUUCCAGCUAUGCUAAAUUUAAUUUUGCAGCUAAAAAAUUAAAUAAACGUCUAAUGCAACUGGGUGGCAAUAUGCUCCAACCUUUGGGUCUAUGCGAUGAUCAACAUGAUCAUGGACUUGGUGCGACCGCUUUGCCAUGGAUUGCAGAGCUGUGGAAUAAGUUGAAAAUGUCAAUACCGUUUAAUCCAUUGCAAAAAAAUGGUGAUUCAAAGACUAUUUUUAAGUAUCGCUUGAAUUGUCUCUCCCCAGAAACGCCACUGAUAGAGGAGACUAAGCUGAAAUGGCCAUUAAACAGUGAAGCUAUUAGUUUAACAUUAAGUGAAAAUCGGCGGACCACUGACGUAAGUCAUUUUCAAGAUGUACGAUUUCUUAGUUUCGAAUUUCCUUCUCAUAUUAAAUGGAAUGCCGGUGAUAUCUUAGACUUACGGCCUACUAAUUCCGAUGAGCAAUUUCAAAAAUUUUUCGAAUUAGUCAGAGAACAUAAUUUGGACUUUAAUGAAAAAACAGUAGUAAAUCUUGAAACUGUGUAUGAGGAUAUGCCAGUGCCAUUGGCUUACGCGAAUCCAGUAAAUGUGGGUAUGUUAGCAAAGUAUAUUUGGGAUUUGAGCGCCCGCCCAAAUCAACGUGUUUUCGAAUUGUUGUCAUUGAAUUGUGAAGAUGAAUUGGAGAAGGAAAAGUUAGAAGAAUUCGCAACAAUAGAAGGUUUAGAUGACCUUAUAAAUUACGUGAAUCGCCCAAGACGUACAAUUCUAGAAGUUUUACAAGACUUCCGGCACAGUGCUUCAAAAUUAAAACUGUCAAUUUUGUUUGAGAUGUUCACAGUCAUACAACCACGGAGUUUUUCAAUUGCAUCAAUGCCAUUCACACAUUCACUUGAUAUCCUCGUAGCAGUGGUUGAGUAUAAAACCAAAAUGUCAACGCCACGACUUGGGCUUUGUUCAAAUUGGUUAAAAUCGUUACCUAUUGGAUGUAGAGUGUUUGGUAUGAUAAAAAAAGGUACAAUCACAUUGCCUACCGACCUGGCAACACCAAUUAUAAUGGUAGGCCCAGGUACAGGAAUCGCACCUUUUCGGAGUGUAAUACAAUAUAGAAAAGAACAACAAAAAAGUGGCGCCAAAAUCGGCGAUUUGAUUGUUUUCUUCGGUUGCCGAAAUAAAACGAAGGACUUUCACUUUGUUGAUGAUUUUACCACUUGGCAAAGCGAGAAAUGCUGUGAAGUGUUUGUAGCAUUCUCACGUGAUCAAGAACACAAAGUGUACGUUCAACAUUUGAUAACAAAAGAAAAAGCAAGAAUUAGUGAAAUAAUUUUGAAGAAAAUGGCUGUGAUAUUGGUUGCUGGUUCUUCGAAUAGUAUGCCCAAAGCGGUUCGUGAGGCGUUUAUUGAAGUGGUGAAUGGAGAUGAGAAUUAUUUGGAUCAGAUGGUAAAAUGUCGGAGGUAUCAAGAGGAGACAUGGUCCUAAAAUAACGCAAUAGAAAAUGGCAUUUACGGGAAAGAUUCGAUUUGGUGGUGUAGAAAAUUCGAACGAACGCGAACCCAAUUCGUUAAAUUGGACAUUGUCGUACGGCACUUCUAGGCGUUUGGAAUAUUUUUCUGUUUGCAACGGCAAUUUUUGUACAGUGUUGCUUUUUUGUGGCUCUAGUGGUGUGUUCAUGCAGCAAUUGCAGUUAAAUAUUAAAACCAUAAAGUUAAAAGGUAUUUUGAGGUCUUAAAAAUGAGUAGACAGAGGCGGCAAAUUUAGCUACAUCUACUCGUGUUUCGAUUUCUCGUUCGUUAAGUUGAUUUUCAUUUUGUGCUUGCUGAAAUGUCGUACAGUAGUGGACAGUGUGAAAUUGAUUGCGUUAGCGGCAGUGCCAUUAUUGUGACAAGAAAUAAUUUGUGUAAGAAAGUUUGUGAAACGUAAUUUUCACUAGCAAUAAAUUAUAAAACUUCUAAUUAUGUUAGAAACGAGUGUACGUGUAUAAGAAUAUUUGGAUAUCAAUGGAAUUAUAAAUAAACUCUCCCGCCAGAUUAAAUGAAGCGUGUUUGAAUGUGGGAACAGAAUA